rnacentral:rRNA from 1 species
GCUGGUUCCCUCCGAAAUUUCCCUCAGGAUAGCUGGAACAGUGCAGUUUUAUCGGGUAAAGCGAAUGAUUAGAGGUUCGGGAGUUGUAACAACUUUCACCUAUUCUCAAACUUUAAAUUGGUAAGAACGCAGAGUUGCUUCAUUGAACUCUGUGCCGAAUGCGUGUUCCAUGUGGGCCAUUUUUGGUAAGCAGAACUGGCGACGAGGGUUCAACCUAAGGCAGGGUUGAGGCGACCAAUUGGCAGCUAAUGAGAUGAAAAGGUGUUAGUUCAUUUAGACAGUAGGACGGUGGCCAUGGAAGUCGGAACCCGCUAAGGAGUGUGUAACAACUCCCCUGCCGAAUGAACUAGCCCUGAA